AUUUUUUCCCGACUUAUAUGAUCCUUUAUAUGCAUAUACAAGAAAGUUGAAAAUGUUUCUUAUUUGCUUUCUGCCUCUGAUCCUUGUUUCCCCACUCUGGGCUUGCUACGUAUGUUGCAUUGCUUAGGAAGAGGUGUCAUGAAUCUACCCAGCUGAGCUUGAGCAGUAUUGUGAGUAAUGCAGGUAGAAAAUAUACCUACUGCAAAAGCCUCCUUCAUAGUUGACAAAAAGGGCAUUGAGCCAAUGUACAGGAAAUAUUUCUCUGCUAUUGAUUGUGACAGUAGUGGAAGUCUCAAGAAGGUGGAAGCACAGUGUGAUUACCUUUCUCUCCCCAGUAUUUUUUCUGCAGUUUUGAUUAGGAAAUAUCUGGGCUUCAGGUUCCUUGAUUGAUAGUUACGAGACUAAAACAAUAAAGUAUAAAACUUGGAAACUUUUUGAACUCUC
rnacentral:lncRNA from 1 species